CUCCGCACGCACUCUGGCUGAAAUGGCCUGCUCUGCAGAGGUUCAUUUUUCCUCAUGCAGGAGUUUUUUUUGUUUUUGCAAGGGGUACUUUUAGAUUAGUACAGUUGCUGGAUAAAAGAAAUGAAGAAACAGAGUUCAGAGAUAGACACAAAGAAGCAGGUGAAGGAACGGUCCAAAAACGCAAAUCAAUCAAGAAUGUGCGCUCCGGAGUUGGGUUCGUUACUCUAUCACUAACAAUAAUCUAGCCAG
rnacentral:lncRNA from 1 species